rnacentral:lncRNA from 1 species
AUACAUUGUUGUUUAUUUGCCCUUACAGGCCACUUACUCUUUCUCUCUCUCUGUGACCUCAGGCAUGUUGCAUGCUCCCGCCUGAAGCCGGCUCAGUGUUUUAGGCCAACCAACACAAUUCAUGUAACAUCCUUGUACAUUUCCACCAUUUCCCACCUCACCAUGCCUCAGAGGACUACAGGCUCCCCAAGACGGGCAUGGUUGGGCAGGUACCGGAUAGAUGCUGUCACUGCGGCAAAAGAAAAAAAUAUCCAAAGUAUUCACGUUGUACCUGCUGAGUGCCAGCACUGCAUGCUCUAGGGAUUCCAUCCCUGCCCCUAUGGAAGAGGGGUCAACUUUUCCAAAACAUCAUCUUCUAGAGGAAGAAGUUGAAGCCCAGCAAGGAAGAGUAACAUACGAAGAUCUCAGCAGAAUGACGGUCAUCUGAGCAUCUAUACUCUGGGGUUGCAAAAAGAACAUGAACUUAGGGGUCAAUGGAUCUGAGUUCCAGGCCUGGCUCUGUCACCAGCUGACUGUUAGAAGCCCACCCACCUCCACCUUCUCUAGAUCACAUGUUUUAUGGCUGCCUCAAAGGCGUGAAGCAGGUGAGUCGUGCUGCCUCUGCCGACAUCUGCUUUGUGAGCCUGGAAGUAUUUCACGGAGAUGUUUCUCUCGACAGGUUUAUGGCUGGUCUUGGCUCAGUGCCUUGAAAACACUCAUCAUGUGAUGAAACGAGAAUGUCAUGCUGCGGGCCAUCAAUAAACCACACUGCCAUUCCCACCCCCACCCUGACACUACUCCACCCACGCAAUUUCCCUCCCCUUCAGCCUCCUCCCUCCCCACCUCCCAAAGAU